UACGAAGGGGGCUAGCGUUGUUCGGAAUCACUGGGCGUAAAGGGCGCGUAGGCGGGGAGGUAAGUCGGGUGUGAAAUCCCUCGGCCCAACCGAGGAACUGCGCCCGAGACUGCUUCUCUUGAGUCCCGGAGAGGAAGAUGGAAUUCCCGGUGUAGCGGUGAAAUGUGUAGAGAUCGGGAGGAACACCGGUGGCGAAGGCGGUCUUCUGGACGGUGACUGACGCUGAGGCGCGAAAGCGUGGGGAGCAAACAGG
rnacentral:rRNA from 1 species